rnacentral:rRNA from 1 species
GACGAACGCUGGCGGCGUGCCUAAUACAUGCAAGUAGAACGCACAGUUUAUACCGUAGCUUGCUACACCAUAGACGGUGAGUUGCGAACGGGUGAGUAACGCGUAGGUAACCUGCCUGGUAGCGGGGGAUAACUAGUGGAAACGAUAGCUAAUACCGCAUAAUAUUAAUUAUUGCAUGAUAAUUAAUGGAAAGGUGCAAUUGCACCACUACCAGAUGGACCUGCGUUGUAUUAGCUAGUAGGUGAGGUAACGGCUCACCUAGGCGACGAUACAUAGCCGACCUGAGAGGGUGAUCGGCCACACUGGGACUGAGACACGGCCCAGACUCCUACGGGAGGCAGCAGUAGGGAAUCUUCGGCAAUGGACGAAAGUCUGACCGAGCAACGCCGCGUGAGUGAAGAAGGUUUUCGGAUCGUAAAGCUCUGUUGUAAGAGAAGAACGGGUGUGAGAGUGGAAAGUCCACACUGUGACGGUAACUUACCAGAAAGGGACGGCUAACUACGUG